GGGGGGGGGGGGACGGGACCCGGAGGAACCCCGGUUCUCUCAGACUGAGGUGAAGGAGGCUUGCAGACAGAGUUACCCGUGCUGCAGGAGCCGACCAUCUGAGUCCACAGACGAUCAUGACAGAAAGGGUUGAGAGCAAAAAGCGCUUCCUAAAGUCUUCUGUGGUAAUCCUGAGAUCUGGCCGUGCCUUACAUCACGCUGUGAGGUCGGCUGCCUUCUUCUGUGAUGAUGAUUUUCCUUCGGAUUUUUGUCUCCAAAUUGCAGUGGGAUCACUUGAGGCUUAUUUGAAGCAAGCAGCAGCUCGGCUUGCUUGGCCUGCAUUGGGUCCCUCUGGGUGCACCCACAGUCAGGAGUGCGGGAUCCCCUCUGCAGAUACCACCCAACCUGACUGCAGACCACUGCCACGUUGUUGGCCGUGUAACACCCUGCUCCCUGUGCUUCUGUUUGCUGUCCUUGCAUGCCCAGUGGCAGUUUUCUCUCUCUCCUCUGGCUUUUUGUGACAAGUCUUUUCCUCCGUGCCUAGAAAAAACAUAAACGCCCACAAAGACAAACAUAGUGCAGAAUUUACAGCCAGAGCAGGUUCCUCAUCUGCAACCACCCUCUCGGACUCCGUCGUUAGCAAACUGCUGAGGUUGGCCUCCCAGGGCCUUGGGCCGGGCUGCUCCAAAGUGCCAGUCACACCAAACCUGUGAUAGCACUUGGGACUAAGGGAGGAUGGCUGGCCCUGCUUGGAGACGUGACCUGGGGGUAAACUGAGGAAGCCAUGGAGAAAGAGCUGAGAAAUCAAGCAUAGAAAAACCUAAACUAAUUUUGGUAGACUGUUGUAAGGGCGUUGAAUUGCCAUGAACUACUCAGCCUGGUAGCACAGCAGCCAGCGCUUCCAUGGGCAAUUGACAAAGUUCAUAUCAUUCUAUAACACAAACUAUGAAGUUCUAGUACAGACUCUAUUGAUGCUAAAUGCUGUACCAGGAUAUGACAGAAAUUGUUCUGCCUCUAAGAGCUGACGUGGUGCUCCUGGAGCUGCCAUGGAAAGAAGGUGAGGAGAACAAGAGCAACAAUGACACGAUUUCUGGGACUGCCUACCAGCACAGCACACCUUCCCACUGAGGGCUUCCUAACACUAAGUGACACAUGGCAGGAGUCCACAACUGCAGAAGACAGCAGCUGGUUGAGCCCCAGAGGAACCACUUUUAACAAGAAAUAGACAACAAACUACACUUUGACUUUACAAGAGAAGCCCUAUGGAAGUGGAUUUGUGGACAAGAGCAGGAGAGGAAACUACAUUUGCAGUAAAUAAAAGCAUCAUUCGCAGAUGUCCUAGCGGUGACCUUGGAAUUUGGAAAUACACAUCUCCUGGACAGCUUUGGAAAGAAAAGCAACAGAAGUACUGAGGGAAGAGCUCCA
rnacentral:lncRNA from 1 species